UCCCAGCAGUCCAAGUCGUGGCCACAUUUAUUAGGUCUAAAACAUUCGUAGCUUGUUUUGCAAGUUCCUUGUGAAAUGCUAUCGCUUAACGGUAGCGCGUGCGAGGAAUACUGCAUUGCUAGAGACUGGUAGACGCAAGAAGUACAAUCGGGGUAGCGGUUAAAUGUUUUAAUCCCGGUUGGACUCACAAUGGCGAAGGCAUCUUGCGAGGACAGAUCUGACGGUGAGGAAUGAAGGCCAGGGGCGCAAAAUGGAUUAGAUACCCAUGUAGUCCUGGCAGUAAACUCUGCUCACUAAACAUUGUGUUCUCCUUGAGGGAACGCAGUGCUGAAACGAAGGUGGAAGUGAGCUACCUGGGAAGUAUAGCCGCAAGGCCGAAACUUAA
rnacentral:rRNA from 1 species